AUAUAUAUAGGCAUCGAAUUUGAUAUCAUGUGAAUUAGAGAGUUAAUGUCAUCAAGCGGCAUUGAGCUCAGGACAUGUGUGAACCUAGUGGAUAGGGCCAUUGAGGGAUUUGGAAAACAUGUUGAACAUCAAAUUGCCUAAGUGUCAUCAAGGGGCACUAGGCGUAGCAAAUGUUGAAACUUCACAUUGUGACUUAAACUAGAUUUUCGGGAUGCUAGUGACUAU
rnacentral:lncRNA from 1 species